rnacentral:rRNA from 1 species
AAUUAAAAGCCCCAGCACAAUGUCCCCGAUCUCGUCUGAUCUCGGAAGCUAAGCAGGGUCGGGCCUGGUUAGUACUUGGAUGGGAGAUGGACAAAAUUUUAAGGUUUUACAUUU